GAUAAUGGACAGCAUUUCCUUUGGAAAAGUUUAAACACACUAGGAAAGUGGACUCUGCUAUAGAAUCUGACUCAAAGGGGACCACAGUCAUCACGUUAUAUUCAUCUUACUCUGAUUCCUGCAUAGAAGCUUCAUUGGCACUUUGCUGAACAACAUUGCGUAGAUUUUCCCAAGAAUAAUAAGGCAAAUAUUGAUUCAGAAAGUUGAAGAGCUGGGAGUGCCCUGGAUGGAUAGAUUUGGCAUCAACAAAAAGCUGUUUUUUCAGGUGGUGCACUGUAAGGAAAGAAAAGAAUACAACUGUGGAAAAAGAUGACAAAGGAUGUGCACCAAAUGCAACAUAAAGACAAAUAAUCAAACAAAUGGGGCUUAGGAGAAAAGAAGAGAAGAUGAAGGAUGUACACAUUUUCUAUCAUAGCUAUGCUAUGAAUGACCAUGAGAGGAAAAUAAAGAUACCAAAGAAAUAUUUGAAGCAGGUCAUGACCAAGUAGUACAGAAGAACAAACACUGCUUCUUCCAACGUAUAUAGGCUCUGAUGAAGAAAAAUGACAAAUUUAUGGAAAGAAAGAACAUUUCCUUCAGCAAGCAAAGAAAAUGGAAAAAUAGGAGAGAGAAAAGCUGCCCAUGAAUUGCAAGAAAUCAGAGUGGAGCUGGGAAAAAGUCCAGAAAAAUCUGAAACUUGCACAUGGCCAUCCAAAUGCAACAGUGUCCCCAGGGAAGAUGAUUUCCUGGGAUUUGGAUGUAGACACAGAACAAGAGAGUAUAAACAAGCUUGGAAAUGUAAUCCUUUCUCACGGCUUUAGAAUAACUAAAAUAAUUUUUAACAACAUUAAUUUGGUGACCUUCAAGUAAAUAUCCUUCCGAUAUUUAAAUUUGUAAUGCAAGACAGUGUAUAAAAAAAUUGAAAACAUCAUGUUGCUUGACAUCCAGAAGGAAUACAUUUGAAGGCAUUUAUUUCAUGGAUACCCAAAUGUAUAUAUGCCAUUUUCUUUUAGACGUCUACUUUUUUUUUUCUCUCAAAAGACUUUUAAAAAAUCACAACGUCAUGUUGAGAGGUAGGUUCUGGCUUUUAGGUAAAGUGCAUUAUCUAGCUAAGUGACUAAAUUCAUACUGUACCACAGUUGAGAAUCUUCAAAACUAUAUCUUUAAAAGUGAAGAUUUAUUCUUUCUGACUUUUGUAGGAAACAGCCAGAUGUGUAUCUUUUAAUUUAGAGUUCUAACAAAUCACUGGUUAUCUACCAAAUCACAGGUUAUAACUAAGACACACACACACACACACACACACUACACACUACACACUCAUGUCUUCCUAGGCUGGAAAUAAGGAUUUAGUUGUCUAAGAUUAUAGUUUUCAUUUUCCUUUCUUUCCAGCAUCUGGUAGCUUAGAGUCAGACACACAGCAGUUACAUAAGGCAGACUCCCACUAGGCUCACAACCACAGCAUCUAAAUUAUUUUUCAGGUAGAACAAGAUGUUUCCUAUACCUAAGUUCACAUGAGAGAUGUUUUCUUUUCACUUUUUUAUUUAGAAAAAAAUUGGUAAAAUUUACAUAUAAGUAAGAAGCAUAUAUCUCAAACAGACCUUCUUAGGAUUAAAAGGAAAAGGAAAAAAAACCCUUUUAGCUUACUAAGAUACUUUUGUUGAAAAACAGAACACUGCCUUAGGUCUAAGAAAGAAAUAAAAAUAAACA